GUUCCAUGAUAAUGGGUUAGGUAAAUGUUUCAUGAUAAUGGGUUAGGUAAAUGUUUCAUGAUAAUAAUUUCAUGUCUUUUGUAUUAAAGAAUUAAAUGGAUGAAAUAUGAAGUUUUAUUAAAAGAAAAAGGGGUGAAAAGAACAAAGUUUUGUCCAUCUUUGUUCAUCAUAGCUGAAAGUUAGAGAAGAGAAAGGAGAGGAGAAAGCUCUUGAGUAUUCGGUCAUUAGGAGGAGGAAAAUUGAAGGCGGUUCGUGUGUGGAUCUCGUCAGCAUAUCGUCGCAAACAGGUGUGUAACUAACACCCUCUUUCUUAGUCUAGAUCGGCAAAAGCCGAAAAGCCGAAAUGCCGAAAACUGGUAUUUUGUAGAUUUGCGAGUGUGCGAAUGCUCGUGAGGUAAAUCGAUUAAUGUUUUUGGUAAGCUGCAAUGUUUGGACUGCAAAGUGCAUGAUUUCUAUGCCCUCGAUAUUUUUGGGCUUAAUGGGCCAAAAUUGGAAUGAUGGGCCAACGGGCCCAAUUCGGUAAGAACCCUCGGUACGUGAUUCUGUUAGUACGUGAAAAGUAGGAAUAUGCAUGAAAAAAACCUAAAAUAGAUAAAUUACUGAAAUACCUUUAAAAGUGGAAAAUUUACGCUUUACCCUAGUAGAUAAUUACCAAAUACCCCUAGGGUUAAAUUGACUUAAAUGCAUGUUUGAUUGUUGUUAUUUAUUCUUGCAUGCCAUGUUGUUAUUAUCGAUGCAUGGGACCGGGAUAUUGACGGAGGAAGUACUUGAAAGUGGCUUGUCCACGUCUUGGAGGCUUUGCCUCAAUUCUUUGAUAAUCUGAGCAAAGCAAGGUGCAAUCUGUGGAGUGUUGGGUUUGGGUGGGUUGAGCUAUUCCCCACAUGGAGUGUAUGGCUGGUACGGGUGGAGUGUAGUGGUUGGUGGGUUGAGUAGUCUCCCAAAUGGGCUUGCAUAUGUUUACCGAUGUUGCAUGUAUUUUGAAAUGGGCCUAUGGGCCAUCUUGUUAUCUGAAUAAGGGCUAAGGCCCGCUUAUUGUAAUCUGAAAAGGACUCGCCCAAGACCACUGUUACCCAAAUGGGCUUGCAUAUGUUUACUGAUGUUGCAUGUAUUUUGAAAUGGGCCUAUGGGCCAUCUUGUUAUCUGAAUAAGGGCUAAGGCCCGGUUUAUUGUAAUCUGAAAAGGGCUCGCCCAAGACCAUCAUUACUGAAUGGGCUUAGGCCCAAUAGGCUUAAGUGACUUGGGCUUUGAAUGGGUUUUCCUUACACACUGAGUUUCCCCAAACUCACCCCUUUUAUUUUCAUCCACGAGGAAAUCCCCAACCAUAGUGGGCUUGGAGUGUGAGGGAAUUGAGUGGCCACCCGCUCAAAGUUUGAUUUUCUUCCGUGAACUGGACAUCCUUUUAUUUACGUUUGAAGUUUUGGGCUUUUAAAUGUAAUAAGGCCGCUUAAUUAUUUUUGAUGGUUUUAAUAUGUAUUACUAAGAUAGGUAAUACUUAUUUUAACUGUUGAAAUUAGAUAGCUUUAGGGCAAGUUUUCAAAAACAACAGUUGAUUUCAAAAUAACACGACAACAAGCAAAGCUUCCGAAUGAAAGUAAUUUUUCCAAAAUUAAUCACUUUUCUUAAAAAUGACUUAAUCAAAUCGGUUUCUUAGAAAUAUCCAUGACGUUAAGGUGUGGCAAUGGCGGUAUGCAUGUCUAGGAUUGGAUCCGAAGGGAGCUUGGUAUAAGCGAUCCGAUGGACUCACCACCUCUUUUAGGUUUCCUACGGUGCAUGACUUCCAUUCACUUUAACCCUUAAUGAAUUAAUCUUUUGAACAUCAAGUACGAUUUUCUGGAUUUAGAAUGGAAAUUUUUUUUUUUUAACGUUUUUGAUGUGGCAUGCCGGAUCCAGCCAUAACUUCUGUGCCGGGUUUGGGGUACUACAAUUACAGAUAUGGUAGGAUAUUGUUAUCUGAUUUCUUAUUCUGAUCUGCAUAUUUAUAUCUGAGAUGGGCUUAGGCCCGAAUCUGCAUCUGUAUCUAUAAUGGGCUUAGGCCCGCUUUUGUAUUUGACUGAUUAUGAUAUUAUGUUAGUGUCCAUGCUUAAUUCUGUGGGGUUACACAUUGAGUUUACAUAAACUCACUCCUCUUUGUUUAUUUUGUACCCUUUUGCAUGUUUUGACCCCAAAAUCGCGUUCUCCAAAAGAAACGACUCAAAAAGAACCUUUUUUGGGUUUUUCAGCCACUGGAGGCAGCAGUCGCUGUUGCUAAUGACUGAUGGCCAUGGCAAAUGAACGACGGCCCCAUGCCCAUAGAGGAAAAGAGUUUUGAGAGGAAAAAUAAGGAAAAGAAGUUUUUUUUUUAAAAAAACAGUUGGCAAAUGAUUUUUUUUUCUGAUUUUUCACUUAUAUAGCCUUAUAAAAACGGUGUUGUUUUGGCUUGAUUUUCAGACGCCAAAAUGGCAUCGUUUUGAAGCCGAACCUGUGACCCGACUUGAACCGCGUAGGAUCGGCAUGUUUUCUGUAACAGCCUAAUUUUAGCUAAAUCGUAAUAGUGGUUUUGAAACCACAAAUUCGAUAUCGAAAAAUUAUUUUAAUAUUACUUUUGGUGUUUACAAUAUGUUAUUUGAUAUGUGUAAAAAUUUCGUGAGCUAA